GUAGAGACUAUCACGAGCGCCU
rnacentral:sRNA from 1 species